GUGCUCGCUUCAGCAGCACAUAUAUUAAAACUGGAAUGAUACAGAGAUUAGCAUGGCCCUGGUGCAAGGAUGACACGCAAAUUCAUGAGGCAUUCCAUAUUUUA